AUUGAACGCUGGCGGCAGGCCUAACACAUGCAAGUCGAGCGGAGCGGCGGACGGGUGAGUAAUGCCUAGGAAUCUGCCUGGUAGUGGGGGAUAACGUCCGGAAACGGGCGCUAAUACCGCAUACUAGCAGAUGAGCCUCGGUCGGAUUGGCUAGUGGGUGGGGUAAAGGCACAACAAGGCGACGAUCCCUAGCUGGUCUGAGAUGAUGACCAGCCACCCUGGAACUGAGACACGUUCCAGAGUCCUACGGGAGGCAGCAGUGGGGAAUAUUGCACAAGGGGCGCAAGCCUGAUGCAGCCAUGCCGCGUGUAUGAAGAAGGCCUUCGGGUUGUAAAGUACUUUCAGCGGGGAGGCGUUACCCGCAGAAGAAGCACCGGCUAACUCCGUGCCAGCAGCCGCGGUAAUUC
rnacentral:rRNA from 1 species